UGUCGAAAUGGAACCACCUUUCAAGCAGGUUCUCUGGUCUUGACGUGUCAGGCGAAAAGUGACACUAAAAGCGCGUGGGAUUAUUCACCUCCUGCUUGUUACACGAGUUUUUUCGAGUAUCACUCGGGAUAUGACGAUUCGAUCAUACUACUUCAAUCUACACGACCAGAUUAUUUCAAAUGGAGGAAGUAUACAUUCCAAGACCACACAUGUAAGAUGCAGCAAUACUCUAUGAGUUCAUCAUUAGAUGCCUUCCCGGUUAACAAGACACUCGUGCCAGACUGGCCAAAGUCUGCGACCUCGUUUCUGACAAAGAAGAUCAUAACGCCACCUACAGGAGACAUCUGGAUACGUUUCUAUUAUCGAGUAUUAUAUGACAGCAAAGGGAAGUUGAGAGUU